rnacentral:lncRNA from 1 species
CAUAAAUUUAAACGUGUGAAAGAGAGAGAGAAAAGGGAGGAGCAAAGCCGAUGAGACAGAGGAAAAUUCGACCGCCCACCGACAACCCAGACCAAAGGCUGCUUCUGCUCAGUGAAGAAGGUGAGUUUUGAAACUAUUUUUUACCAUUAAUCUUUGAAAUGGUGCAUGUUUGAUGUUUCUUUGGUGAAAAAUUAUUUUAAAAAUAGUUUUAGAACAUAAAUAAUGGAUCAAAUGAUGAUUUGGGUGAUUUAUUGGGGGCGGAGAUAGUAAAAUAUGACGAUCUUCGCCGUUUGCAGCCACCUCCGUCUGGAUCCAGACGGUAGAGUUCGAAAUUUCCAAACGCUGGGCCGUCUGGAGAUGGCCCAUUUCCAUGCCCCAGCCAAAAUUUUUUUUUGUAAUUAAUUUUUAAUAUAAUUCUUUAUUUAAAUAAUUAUUUUUAUUGUUUAUGUAUAUUAUUUUAAUUAAUAUUUAGUUAUUUUUUAAAUAUUUAAAUAAUUAUUUAAUUUGUUUAUGUAUAUUAUUUUUGUUUAAUAUUUAAUUAUGUAUAUAAUUUACUUGUGUAUUUAAAUAUUUCAUGAUUUAUAUUAAUUAUUUAUUUAAGAAAAAAUAAACAACGAAUGGAAAUAAAUUUUAAUUAAACAAUUAAAAUAAUUAAUGAAAAUAGUAAAUAACUAUUUGAAUUGACUUAAAUAAAUAAUUAAAUAUUAAACAAAUAAUAGACAUAAACAAUUCAAAUGAUUAUUUAAAAUUUCAAUAAAUAAUUACAUUAAAUAUUAAAAAAUAAUUAAAUUAAGUAUUUGAAAUAAAUAAAUGAAAUAACUAAUUUAAUAGUCAGUAAAUAAUAUACAUUAAAAAAUUAAAAUAAUUAAUGAUGUAUAUAAGUAAAAUAUUAAAUUAACAAUUUAAAUACGUAAUCAAAAUAAAUAAUUGAAUAAAGUAAUUCGAUAUUAAACAAAUAAUAUGCACAACAGAUGAAAAUAAUUAAGGAAAUAUUUAAAUAAAAAUUAAAUUAAAUGUUAAUUGAACAACUAAAAUAAAUAAUUUAAAUAAGUAAAUAAACAAUUUAACAAUUAAAUAUUCAAUAAAAAAUUAAAGCAAAUAAAUUUUGUUGACCAAAAAAUAUGAAUUAAUAUUUAAUUGUAACAAUAAAUAACUAAUUGAAAUAAAUUAAAUAAACAAUUAAAUUAAAUAUUAAUUAAUAUUUCUUUCAACACAAUUUAUUUAUUUUAGUUGUUUAUUUAUUUUGGUUAUGUAUAUUAUUUGUUUCUUAUUUAUUUACUUUAUUAAAUUAUUUAUUUUAUAUUUAAUUUAACUUAUUAUUUAAGUAUUUCAUAAAUUAUUUUGAUUGAUUAUGUAUAUUGUUUGUUCAAUAAUUAAUUAUUUAUUUAAAUUACUUAUUGAAUUGUUUAUUUAGUAUUUAUUUACUUUAUUUGAUUAUUUAUAUUAAUUACUUAGUUUAAUUAUUUUUUUAAUAUUUGAUUUAAAUAUUUCAUUAUUUAUUUGAAUUACUUAUUUUAGUUGCUAAAUUAAUAUUUAAUUUAAUUGUUUAUUUAAAUUUUUAAGUAAUUAUUUUAAUUGUUUAUAUAUAAUAUUUCCUUUAUUCCAUUAUCCGUUCAUUCUUGUGUGUAUUAGUUACAGUUUGGUUAGUUUAAUUUUCAAAUAUUGUGCUUUAUCCAUUGUCUCCUAUACAAAGUUCUAAAAUUUUCAAUUUUGCAGAUAUGGAUUAUCAUUUGGAUGUCGCCAUGAGAUAGAUUCCCCACAAAGUUAUAUCGAAUCGUAACUUUGUCAGCUUUACAGUAGUCUUAUAUCUGUUGGAUGAAGAGCACGCGGACAUGCUACGUAGAUCCUGCUUAUGACUGUUGUAUGCAUUGCGUGACGUACAAUUUUCUCUGGCCAGCUGCUCGAUGCAUUACCAUGUCGACUACUUCAGCCAGUUUUUGAUUGAGUUGUUAUCCAUUUUGAUUUUGGGGGCAAUGUCGCUACAUUUUCUAUAUUUGAGUUUACCCUCAUCACUGGAUUGAAAUGUACGGGUGAGGAAGCAGGGAGGGCUCGAGUUCCGAGUGACAGGAGGCUACCGAAUGAGUGCUUCAAUGGGCAGUCGACAGUGACUCUAGCACAGUUAGGAGACGCAUUCAGGGAAUGUGACGAUAUAUCUGACAGGUUGAAGUUGGGGAUGGUGUUCAUAUUGGAGGACGUACUGAGGUGUCAUCACAAGAAGACGUCGAUCGACGUCUUUCAUUUGGAGAUUGUUGAUGCUAUUGACACGUUCAACAACUAUCCAUGGGGACGACGGUGUUUUACUGAUACAUGUGGCGUCAUCAGGAGAUGAUAUUUGAUGCCUAAAUGGAGUAAGUUCGAGCGCAAGUACAAUGCAUACGACCUGCUACUGGCUUUGCAGGUAAAUGUUUACCGUAAUGAAUUAUCUAAACUUUUAUUGAAUUCAAUACAUAAUAAUUGUAAUUACUGCAGAUAUGGGUGUACGAGAUCGUCCCCAUCUUGGUUGGCCGGUAUGCGAGGAGAAAAAAGACAUGCUGCCAUCGGAUUCAUCACUGGGGAGCACAAGACAAGCCACUUGCGAAACAGUUAACAGCUAUCCUCGACGAUCCUGAGGUACGUAUUAUUCAUUUAAGAUUUAUAUUGUACGUCAUUUCGAAAUCUUAAUACAUGGUCAUGAACACGGUAAAAUGUCAAUAUGUUAGCGUCAGGAUGAGGUCACAACGCUGCAAGGAGAUAUAGCUGACAGGUGAUGGGGGCCGAAGACAGUGAUAGAGAGGGUAGUGAUACAGGGGUUGGCAUGUACACAGACGUUGAAUUAGAAUCGUUAUGUAUGUUAGUGGGGAUGGGAGAAGUGCCGGUGGAGGGGACGACCCUGAUCAUUCAUGCCUGACAGGUCAGUUCAAGCAAAAUUUGGAGUCGGUGCCUGUGAUCGUUCCAUUGAUGGCUAAACGAACAAACAUCAUUGUGCAGGACAAACUGACGAUUGUACGGGACACGAUGAUGACGAGGCAGCAAAUAUCGUAAGUGUUUGUAAUUUUUUUUUUAAUUUAAAACUUAGAUUCUAGUUACACGGUACUUAACUAAUACAAUAUUGUUUAAUUAUAGAGGUAUAGCAUCGUACAAGCGGUAGUUUAUAUAAGUAUAUCACGUAAGGUUUAUGCAAUCAAUCAGGCAUUGAUAUAAAAUUGGAAAAAGAAAUUAGCAUAUGAUUUAUUUCAAUUUAAUGGUGAUCCGUAAAUAUUGGACACGUACAUUUUUUUAUGAAAUAAUUGUACAUAUUGUAAUAUUUAUUUAAACAUUGUACAUCUCAUUCAUUCAUUUGUAAUUACGAAAUAAU